rnacentral:lncRNA from 1 species
CUCCCUUCUUCGACCUGAAGCGACACUUUCCUGUGCUCUAGGAGGACUUGGGUCUUGUGAGAGUCGCCCUUUGCUCCUGGAGUCGUCUCACAAGGCCGUUCACUCCCUGCUUUCUUCAAAAAAAGAACCUGCAGGCGACACACCAAGGACUCCACGAGGGAGUCCUGAGUACUGGAGCGAGUUGCGGCCACGCGGCCGCAGCUCACCACUGGCCUAGAGAUGCCCUUUGCGAGGCGGCAGCAACUGACAAGAUGGUCGCGGGUCGCCGGGUCCGGAGCCGCCCACCAGGUUGCCAGGAGGAGGCGGGAGCGGGGAGGCGCCCGAGGUGAGACAGGGGCACCCUCUGCAUCAUAAAGGACCCAGACCCCGGCACCCUCAACAUCAUAAGGAAUCAGACGGAUGCGGAAACCGAGACGGGCUGGAUAGGAAACUCUUUCCAGGAAGGCUCCGGGGCACUCAACUGGUCUCCAACCUUCCCCUGCAACCUGUGACGCCUGCCAUUUUCCCAUUUUAGGCGAUGGCAACGCAACCCCUCCGUUUGCUCUGGGCAAAACUUCGAGAGUUCCCUCUGAAGCUGGAGCUUUUUCCUCAGAUCCAAGAUCCAAUUGGUCACCAAUUCGUGAUUUCCGUCGGCCAAGUGCGUGGGCAUUGAUCUACACGCGAGUUUCUCCACCUCUGCCGAAUGGCUACUUCGGGGUGGGGGAGGGGCCCUCCCGCCGUGGAUUGCAAGGUGUUUAGCAGCAUCUGUCUCCUCCGCUGACUAGACACAUGCCAGGGGGAUAACAUUCUCCCUCCCGCUUCCCCCAGCCGCGGCCUAGUGUCCCAGCGGGGUUGGGAGAGGCAUGUGAGGGCGAAGUUGCCCCCUGUUGAGAACCAUUGCUGCGCGUAGUCCUUCUCUCUGAACUUGUGCAGAGGACUCUCCAGGUGAAGGCUCAAGGGUGGAUCCAGCUCGAGACACCCUCGCUCCCCCUCACAGUCGGACCUUAGGAUUUAGGCUUUAACAUCUCCACAUCAUGAGAUUCGAAACCUUUAGGUCUUGUCUUCCGUUCUGUCCUCCAAAUCGGCCUCUUCCGAGCCUGUUGACCAGGGCCAGCCGGGCAGAGGGCUGGGCUCGCUCAACGAGGCUCCUCUCGCACCUCCUGGAGCUUCAGGCUUCUUUCCGUUGCAGAGAAGCUUUAUGGGCCAAUUCGUUCGGCAUCCCCGGGGGCAGGUGCGCGGUGCGCGGGGAAGAAGAGGAUUUGACUGCGGUUCUCCACCCCCGGCGCCCAACCUCCACCCCGGUGCGCGCGCUCUUCCAGGCUCCUGCUGGUCCCACUUGCCAGGAGUUAGGUCUCAGGUCAGCCUGAGCUCCUGAGACGCCCAGGCCCGGAAAGACACGUAGGGGAAACCAUCUGCUCACUUCUGUCCUGUCCGGAAGGGAUCCCUUUCUGACGGGAAAGAAAGGCGCUAAACAAGCACUGGCCUUGAGAUAAGCAAUGCUGAAGCACUUGCAGCUCACCUAUUACCAUAAACUGACUGAGCCCUCCCUACACAAGCCGUAACUACUGCUUUGAUUGGACAAGAGACUGAUUUCAGUAGUUUUCUCUUGAUAAGAGACCACUGGCCGUGGGCGGGUUCUGGACAGUUUACAGAAGCUAUGCACUUGAUUGCCUUUGUGUCCCUGCUUCACCUUUUGAAGCAUAGGGCCUAAUUAUAAUGUAUUUAAAUGUUGUCUCCACCCCAAAGUGAACAUGGGUUGCAUGUAACAGGCAUGUUUACUCAGCAUGCAUGCAGCAGGAUCCCUUCACAAAUAUUCAGAGCUCCCCCUAUUCCCUGUUGAAUAUGUAUAUGUGGCCAGCCAGAUCAACGUAAAUCACUAUUCGCCCUCCCCUCCCUGGAAACCUACUUUUCGGGUUUCAGCAGGAAGCUAUGCCUCCCAGUCUGUCAGAAUGGCCACUUGCAGGCUGUAACCCUUUAUAAAAAAAUAAAAUCUCCUUUCUAAAUUUA